rnacentral:rRNA from 1 species
GAGACGCUGGCGGCGUGCUUAAUACAUGCAAGUCGAGCGAGGCCUUGGAAUUGGAGUCCUUCGGGAUGAAGAGUCCUUGGCCUAGCGGCGGACGGGUGAGUAACGCGUGGGCAACCUACCCCAAAGUCCGGGAUAACAGUGGGAAACCGCUGCUAAUACCGGAUGACUUUACCUGAGGGCAUCCUUGGGUAAAGAAAGGUUACGCUUUGGGAUGGGCCCGCGUCCCAUUAGCUAGUUGGUGAGGUAACGGCUCACCAAGGCGACGAUGGGUAGCCGGCCUGAGAGGGUGAACGGCCACACUGGGACUGAGACACGGCCCAGACUCCUACGGGAGGCAGCAGUAGGGAAUAUUGCGCAAUGGGCGGAAGCCUGACGCAGCGACGCCGCGUGAGCGAAGAAGGCCUUCGGGUCCGUAAACGCUCUCGUCCUUGGGGAAGAAGGCGGAAAGCGUUGUACGGUACCCAACGAAGGAAAGCCCCGGCUAACUACGUG